UACGGAGGAUGCGAGCGUUAUCCGGAUUUAUUGGGUUUAAAGGGUGCGCAGGCGGCGUGUCAAGUCAGCGGUAAAAUGUCGGGGCUCAACCCCGGCCGGCCGUUGAAACUGGCGUGCUCGAGUUGGAGAGAAGUAUGCGGAAUUCGUGGUGUAGCGGUGAAAUGCAUAGAUAUCACGAAGAACCCCGAUUGCGUAGGCAGCAUACCGGCUCCACACUGACGCUGAGGCACGAAAGCGUGGGUAUCGAGCAGG
rnacentral:rRNA from 1 species